CUGAAGCAGGCUCCAGGCUCUAAACUGUCAGCACAGAGCUGGAUGUGUGGCUCAAACCCACGAACAAACGGUGAUAUCAUGACGUGAUCUGAAGUUGGACGCUCAACCUACUGAGACACCCAUGAUGAGCACUAAUUGUUGGAGAUAAAGUCAAAAGAUCGGCACUUGAAAAUUAUGAAUUCUCCCUGUGAUGUAUAAAGCCAGAAAGAGCAUGAAUACCAUUCUAACAAUAAGAAAAAGCUGGAUCAAUUACAAAAUCAUGUAAGUUUUCAUGAAUCCAUCAGAGAAUUGAGGUUAUUGCACAAACAAGUAGCUUGAUACCUAAGACAAUAUGAGUUAAUUUCCCAUGGGAAUGUUUGAUGUGAGCACUGACCCACAGUGGCAGAGAAGAGGAAGAAGAGACAUGGAUACC